CAACAUACUUUUCGUCCCAGGAGUAUUACCCCAGGUUCAACUAUCUAAAAUCCAAUUAUUGUAUUUUCCCCCUUGUGUUUUGACCUGUUUAGCCAUUAUAUUUUAUGGGUCAAAAGUGAAAUUAUAUCCUGACAUUACCGGAUUGAAAUGUUUGCUUUAAUCUCAAUGGUGCUGAUUUUAUACAUAAGCAAAAACCAAACCGACAGUGUGUUUAAAUGGGAUUUUCCGGAUCAUUUUAUUAAAGGAAUUUAUCAGUCUACCCUAGUCCUUUGGGAUAAAAUUAAUUAUAGGACUCUCUGAGGGGCUUUAGCCAUCGUAACGACUUUCUAGAGAAAUACCAAAGUUUUUAUAUGAAGGUCGUAUAUUCCGCAAAAAUGCUGGAUAAUAAAAUUACAUUGACGUU